rnacentral:rRNA from 1 species
GGUGAAGGCGCAGCGAAAGCGAGUCUGAACAGGGGCGUUCAGUUCGUAGGAUCAGACCCGAAGCCGAGUGAUCUAGCCAUGGGCAGGCUGAAGGUGGGGUAACACCCACUGGAGGGCCGAACUCACGUCUGUUGAAAAAGACGGGGAUGACCUGUGGUUAGGGGUGAAAGGCCAAUCAAACUCGGCGAUAGCUGGUUCUCCGCGAAAGCUAUUGAGGUAGUGCGUCGCGUAUUACCGCCGGGGGUAGAGCACUGGAUGGGCUAAGGGGCCCCACAGGCUUACUAAACCCAACCAAACUCCGAAUACCGGCGAGUAGAGCGCGGCAGACAGACAGUGGGUGCUAAGGUCCAUUGUCGAGAGGGAAACAGCCCAGACCGCCAGCUAAGGUCCCCCAAGUCGUGGCUAAGUGGGAAAGGAUGUGGGAAGGCCAAGACAACCAGGAGGUUGGCUUAGAAGCAGCCAUCCUUUAAAGAAAGCGUAAUAGCUCACUGGUCUAGAUAAGCCGUCCUGCG